rnacentral:rRNA from 1 species
AUUGAACGCUGGCGGCAUGCCUUACACAUGCAAGUCGAACGGCAGCACGGGAGCAAUCCUGGUGGCGAGUGGCGAACGGGUGAGUAAUAUGUCGGAACGUGCCCAGUCGUGGGGGAUAACGCAGCGAAAGCUGUGCUAAUACCGCAUACGAUCUAAGGAUGAAAGCGGGGGAUCGCAAGACCUCGCGCGAUUGGAGCGGCGGAUAUCAGAUUAGCUAGUUGGUGGGGUAAAGGCCCACCAAGGCGACGAUCUGUAGCUGGUCUGAGAGGACGACCAGCCACACUGGAACUGAGACACGGUCCAGACUCCUACGGGAGGCAGCAGUGGGGAAUUUUGGACAAUGGGCGCAAGCCUGAUCCAGCAAUGCCGCGUGCAGGAUGAAGGCCUUCGGGUUGUAAACUGCUUUUGUACGGAACGAAACGGCCCUUUCUAAUACAGGGGGCUAAUGACGGUACCGUAAGAAUAAGCACCGGCUAACUACGUGCCAGCCGCCGCGGUAAAAC